ACGGGGUGCAGCAGGCGCGAAAACUCCGCAAUGUUCGAAAGAACGACGGGGGAACUCCAAGUGCACUUGCGCAAGCAAGUGGUUUUUAGUAGUGUAAAUAGCUGUUAGAAUAAGAGCUGGGUAAGACCGGUGCCAGCCGCCGCGGUAACACCGGCAGCUCGAGUGGUGACCGCUUUUAUUGAGCCUAAAGCGUUCGUAGCCGGUCCAGUAAGUCUUUGGGCAAAUCUUCUCGCUCAACGAAAAGAGUUUCGAAGAUACUGCUGGACUUGGGGCCGAGAGAGGUUAGAGGUACUCCUGGGGUAGGGGUGAAAUCCUAUAAUCCUGGGGGGACCGCCAGUGGCGAAGGCGUCUAACCAGAGCGGACCCGACGGUAAGGGACGAAAGCCAGGGGCGCGAACGGGAUUAGAUACCCCGGUAGUCCUGGCCGUAAACGCUGCAUGCUAGGUGUUGCAUGCUCUACGGGGGCAUACAGUGCCGAAGAGAAGUUGAUAAGCGUGCCGCCUGGGAAGUAUUAUCGCAAGGUAGAAACUUAAAGGAAUUGGCGGGGGCGCAC
rnacentral:rRNA from 1 species